AGUUUUUGGUACCUAUAAUCUUAUUUGGGUCCUUGAGGUUAGAGACAUUUUACUUUAUGACAGGAAUCCAAGCAUAUUUUCCAUUUGGAACACCAAAAUGUUUAAUGUUACAUUUGUUUGAAGUAUGUCCCUUUUUCAUGCAAUAGAAACAACAAACAUCAUGCACCUUAUUUUUCACAAAAGUUCCCUUCUCAACCCAAACUCUACGAGUUCUUUUAAUUUGGUUCUUACCUUUAAAAAACCUUUUGUUUUUAAAAUCCUUUUUAACAGGUAGAGGCAUUUCAGCAUUA
rnacentral:lncRNA from 1 species